UAUUUGCUCAUGUCAUUAUUGACAUAUUUGGCCUGGACCUGCGAUCAUCGAUCUCUAAACAUAUUUUUUGUACUAUCUACUACCAUCGGUAUAUAUUUCAUCUAUCAUUGGAAUCUUCCUGGAUGAUCAUAUCCACCGCUGUGUAUCAGAUUGUGAAAAUCAUGGCUACAUAGUAGCAAUAAUCCUGUUCAUUUCGCCCUGAAGAAGCCCCACGGUGAAACGCGUAGGCGACUUCAAUAGGAUUCU